rnacentral:rRNA from 1 species
AUGGUCCCGCCCGGACAGCGAAACCAGCAGCAGUGUGGUAGCAUAGUAGUAGUACCACACCAUGGUGGGCGCCAACUGUCGUGGUAUUCUCACGGGGAGGGUGCGAGGCGACAGAUGCCACAAGGGCUUAGUGUGAGGGUAAGACUGCUGCUGAUAGGACCGGGAGCGGGUAUGCGAGUAGCACGCGCUAGUUUACCCAGGUUUGGGGCUCUCCAGAGAGAUAAUACCCCUACUCCUACAUGUCUGAGUAUAUGUGGUAUAUCUGUAGUACAGAGUGCUCCUGGAGCUGUAUCUGAGCUCAGUGCCAUAGGCAUCUGGCUUUGUAUAUGUCUCAUAUAUGUGUAUGAGCUAGCUAGCAAGUGGGCAUGA